rnacentral:rRNA from 1 species
UACAGAGGGUGCAAGCGUUGUUCGGAAUUAUUGGGCGUAAAGCGCGUGUAGGCGGCCUGGCAAGUCGGGUGUGAAAGCCCUCAGCUCAACUGAGGAAGUGCGCCCGAAACUGCCGAGCUUGAGUACCGGAGAGGAUGGUGGAAUUCCCGAAGUAGAGGUGAAAUUCGUAGAUAUCGGGAGGAACACCGGUGGCGAAGGCGACCGUCUGGACGGAUACUGACGCUGAGACGCGAAAGCGUGGGGAUCAAACAGG